rnacentral:rRNA from 1 species
GACGAACGCUGGCGGCGUGCUUAACACAUGCAAGUCGAACGGAAAGGCCCUGCUUUUGUGGGGUGCUCGAGUGGCGAACGGGUGAGUAACACGUGAGUAACCUGCCCUUGACUUUGGGAUAACUUCAGGAAACUGGGGCUAAUACCGGAUAGGAGCUCCUGCUGCAUGGUGGGGGUUGGAAAGUUUCGGCGGUUGGGGAUGGACUCGCGGCUUAUCAGCUUGUUGGUGGGGUAGUGGCUUACCAAGGCUUUGACGGGUAGCCGGCCUGAGAGGGUGACCGGCCACAUUGGGACUGAGAUACGGCCCAGACUCCUACGGGAGGCAGCAGUGGGGAAUAUUGCACAAUGGGCGGAAGCCUGCUGCAGCAACGCCGCGUGCGGGAGGACGGCCUUCGGGUUGUAAACCGCUUUCGCCUGUGACGAAGCGUGAGUGACGGUAAUGGGUAAAGAAGCACCGGCUAACUACGU